rnacentral:lncRNA from 1 species
GAAAACGUCUGUCAAGGCUCUUUCUCCAACUCUAGAAGGAGCCAUCAGGGAAAACCUUCACUCUUUCGGCCUGCCACCUUCUCGGGACCGUGAACACGUGAGCACUUCACCGGUCUUGCAGCAGGACUUUGGCCAGGGAGGCCGGACAACCACCACAGAUCUUAGCACUUCAUCACUGGGACUCCUGCAACUGCUGCAAGAGCGCGGCAUCUCAGCCUCCAGUCAUCCCCACCACAACCUGCACUAUAGCCACAGUGGAAAACCUUCGUCUUCUAUCAUAUCAGACAAAAGAGGAGACUUUUCCUCACACAGAGAGGGACGAAGGAACAUUUUUAGCUGGAACUUGGUGGAGAAGCUUCAGAGUCUCGGGUUGCACAGAGUGGCAGCCUGGGGGAUGAGGGGCCCCAGUGGCAAAGACAGGGAAGCAGUCAGACCUCCUCCGAAAGUGUGAUGCAUUCACCUCCACACUCCUCUCUCAUUCACCAUAGUGACUUUGCAUAAAGCCAUGCGAUUCCUACUGUGCACUUCAAUGCCCACCACAGCACCCGUGUCUUGAAAAGAAAAGCCACAGAAUGUGUUAGAGCCAUACUUUCAGUUAUUGGUAGUGUGCAUUACAAUCUUUUUCUAUGAACGUGUGCACGGUAAAUUAUUCUUUACAUGUGGGACAUUUUCAUCUCAGGAAAACCACCUGAUCACUGCUGUGUUUGACUCACACGUUGCUUCUUUUUACACAAAAAGGAACAUGAUGAAGAAAAAAAUCUUUUAUACUUUUGUGUUUUGACUGUCCUUUUACAAUUCCCCCACCCCCCAUCACUGGUUUUAAAAAAAACCUCCUCACUCGUCAUUUUAUUAGUUUCCAAAGAGAAACAUGAGUUAUGUGUAAAUAAUAACUUUGUCAUUUAGGGAAAUGAAAAAAGACGAUGUGCUGUAAAUUAUUGAGAGUACAGAAACCACAAACAAACCAGUGCUGUCACUGAAAAUGCACUAAAACACAGUCUGGUCUUCCUGCUUAUUCGCUGCUAUGUUGACAAAAGCAUAUAGUGUAUAAGUUUGUCAAACUAUACUUAGAAAGAAGCACUGAGAAGAAGCCAGACUAUGCAGUGACUGAACUGAGUAAUGUUAAUAAUAUUGAGCAGUCUGCCUUGCAGUCCAUUACUUGCUCUCACAUGCACACUUCCAUUUCACCUCUAAGCUGUUUAAAGUUACACCUUUGUGGACUUCUGAGCCAAACCUCACCAAAACCAAAUCAGAUUUGCAUGUUGCAUGGAAGACGGUGAAGCAACAUGUCGACUGCAGUGACUCAAAGUUUUGUUUGUAGAAAUCUGCUGUAUAAAUCAUGCCAUCGGGAAUUUUUAAACCACUGGGAUUUAAAUUUAACUGAAAUCAUGCUGGGCAUUUCAGAGUGACAUCUGUGACAUUAAGCACAAUAAGUAGUAUUUAAUAAGUACAUGAGUUAUCAUGAUAAUUUAAACAGCACCUCUCUGGUUGAUCAAACAGCUCUUGAUAAUGUGGCACAGGAUAAUGUGGAUUUAAAAGGGAAGAAUUCAUAAACAGAGAUUAUGAUGAUUUGUGAUUCUACUUAAAUUAACUAAACCACUGUUUCUGUGCCCUGUUGUUUGCUGUAACUCUACAUGUCAGUGUGUGCAUAAACUGUACCACCUGUGAAUAAAUGUUUUCAUUUCCACCAAGUUCACUUUUGACUCUCCGUCCACUCA